rnacentral:rRNA from 1 species
CGGAGGGUGCAAGCGUUGUCCGGAUUUAUUGGGUUUAAAGGGUGCGCAGGCGGCCCUUAAGUCAGUGGUGAAAGCCCGCGGCUCAACCGCGGAACUGCCAUUGAUACUGGGGGGCUUGAGUACAGACGAGGUGGGCGGAAUUGAAGAUGUAGCGGUGAAAUGCUUAGAUAUCUUCAAGAACACCGAUUGCGUAGGCAGCUUACUAGGCUGUAACUGACGCUGAGGCACGAAAGCGUGGGGAGCGAACAGGAUUAGAUACCCUGGUAGUCCACGCCGUAAACGAUGAUUACUCGAUGUCGGCGAUAGACCGUCGGCGUCUUAGCGAAAGCGUUAAGUAAUCCACCUAGGGAGUACGCCCGCAAGGGUG